AUCUUCCUGCUCCUCCUGUUAACACAAGACUUGUAAGGAGGGUCUCUUUUCAAGAAGGCAGCUGUUUUUUCUCAUUCUUUCAAUUAAUUAGGAUGUGAGCUUCCACUACAAAAAACAUCAGAAGUUAUGCUGGGUUCCAGGUUGAGGAGUCAUCUGAAUUAGAGGUCCACGGGGAAAACAAAUGAUGCUUAUAUCCUGUUCAAGAGUGAGGAUUUACGUGCUGCAACCUUGUUGGAUGUUGAAGCAGUUUAUUACACUCAAGGAAUGUGGUGUUUACCAGUUUAUUCACAUUCACAGAUGUGGUUGUGGCAUUGGCUUGGGCACUUUUCAUCCUUGGAGGGCAUUCACAGCUGUGGAUUUACCCUGGAGUCUCUGGUGUUUUGGCCCCCCAUCAGCAAUAGCUAGUCCAGGAGGUGGAGACCUGGUUGCGUGAUGCAGCAGUGGACCCCAUUCAUAUUCCUUCACCUUUUCUUUCCCACGUGCACGUGGCUUUUGGAAACAGCCUUGCUGGCACAUUUUAGCCAAGUGACUGCUUCUGAAAAUUGUUCCCAUUGUGAAAAACCAGGUUAAAUUUAGAAAUGUAGAUGCCGUUAUUGUCAUUGCACGAAGAAACACUUGACCACUGCAGAAAAGUGGCCUGUGGGAGCUGCGCUUUAAAGCUGAAAAUGGAUUGUGAAGGUCCAGACUUCUGCACAAGAAAAGAAAAUGCUACAACGAUACGCUGUUCUCCAUAAAGACUCAGGCAGGAAGCUGCACUCUCAGGACCACCGGAUGAGCUGUGGCCAAUGCAGUGCUGCAAAACCCCUUCCUUCAAGCUUUCUGUCCCAGGCUGGAGGAUGAGCCAAAAGCAGCAUCUGAAUUCCUGCCCCACACCUCUUCUGCCAUGUAACAAAUGGUUGUGACAGGGCAGAGUGGAGAUCUCUGCCCUCCAGGCCAAGCCAGGGCUCCGCAGGACGUGACAGCUUUGAUUUGUGUCUGUGCAGGACACACCGGAGACAAAAGACAGCGUCAAGAGUAAUUGAAUGAACGUGGCAGGCAGACCCAGCAGUGCUCUUAUCAGCUGGGGGAGGCAGAGCAGAUCUGAGGAGCGGAACAGGCCAGGUACCAGGAACCAGAUCUU